UCGAGAAUUUUUCUCAAUGGGGGAAACCCUGAAGGAGCGACGCCGCGUGGGGGAUGAAUGGCUUCGGCCCGUAAACCCCUGUCAUUUGCGAACAAACCUUUUCGGUUAAUACCCGGAAAGCUGAUUGUAGCGAAAGAGGAAGGGACGGCUAACUCUGUGCCAGCAGCCGCGGUAAUACAGAGGUCCCAAGCGUUGUUCGGAUUCACUGGGCGUAAAGGGUGCGUAGGUGGCCGGGUAAGUCUGAUGUGAAAUCUCUGGGCUCAACCCAGAAAUGGCAUUGGAUACUAUCCGACUAGAGGAGUGGAGGGGGAACUGGAAUACUUGGUGUAGCAGUGAAAUGCGUAGAUAUCAAGUGGAACACCAGUGGCGAAGGCGAGUUCCUGGACACUUCCUGACACUGAGGCACGAAAGCUAGGGGAGCAAACAG
rnacentral:rRNA from 1 species